AUUAGGCUGGUCAUAGUGGGGAGUAACUUAUACUAGUGUCAUGCAUAUGACACUAGUCUAAGUUACUACCUUCAUAGUGCAAAGUAACAUAGUAGUAGUGUCAUAGAGGACUUCAUUAAUUAGCUUGUAGACUCAUCUUGUCUUGGAAAGCGCUAUGUUACAGUAACAUAUUAUGUUACCACUUCUCAUUAACUACAUGCCACAUAAGCAAAAA
rnacentral:rRNA from 1 species